rfam:Rhabditophanes sp. KR3021 genome assembly, scaffold: RSKR_scaffold0000001
UUCAGAUAUGGAGAUCAAGUUCCAAGAACAUACUUGGGCAUGCUCGUUGGUUCUGUAUGUGCAUUAAUGGGAGUACUGACAAUUGCUCUUCCAGUUCCUGUAAUUGUUAGUAAC